AAUACUUAGGAAUCUACCUAUUAAUGGGGGACAACAUUUCGAAAGGAAUGCUAAUACCGCAUACGCCCUACGGGGGAAAGCAGGGGAUCUUCGGACCUUGCGUUAAUAGAUGAGCCUAAGUCGGAUUAGCUAGUUGGUGGGGUAAAGGCCUACCAAGGCGACGAUCUGUAGCGGGUCUGAGAGGAUGAUCCGCCACACUGGGACUGAGACACGGCCCAGACUCCUACGGGAGGCAGCAGUGGGGAAUAUUGGACAAUGGGGGGAACCCUGAUCCAGCCAUGCCGCGUGUGUGAAGAAGGCCUUUUGGUUGUAAAGCACUUUAAGCGAGGAGGAGGCUACUGGUACUAAUACUACCAGCUAGUGGACGUUACUCGCAGAAUAAGCACCGGCUAACUCUGUGCCAGCAGCCGCGGUAAUACAGAGGGUGCGAGCGUUAAUCGGAUUUACUGGGCGUAAAGCGUGCGUAGGUGGCCAAUUAAGUCAAAUGUGAAAUCCCCGAGCUUAACUUGGGAAUUGCAUUCGAUACUGGUUGGCUAGAGUAUGGGAGAGGAUGGUAGAAUUCCAGGUGUAGCGGUGAAAUGCGUAGAGAUCUGGAGG
rnacentral:rRNA from 1 species